rnacentral:rRNA from 1 species
AGUGGCGGACGGGUGAGUAACGCGUGGGUAACCUUCCUUGUACUGGGGGACAACAGUUAGAAAUGACUGUUAAUACCGCAUAAGCGCACAGUAUCGCAUGAUACAGUGUGAAAAACUCCGGUGGUACAAGAUGGACCCGCGUCUGAUUAGCUAGUUGGUAAGGUAACGGCUUACCAAGGCGACGAUCAGUAGCCGACCUGAGAGGGUGACCGGCCACAUUGGGACUGAGACACGGCCCAA